UACAGAGGGGGCAAGCGUUAUUCGGAAUUAUUGGGCGUAAAGGGCGCGUAGGCGGCUUGGCAAGUGGAAGGUGAAAUCCCUCGGCUUAACCGAGGAACUGCCCUCCAAACUGCUUCGCUUGAGACCGGGAGAGGUGAGUGGAAUUCCCAGUGUAGCGGUGAAAUGCGUAGAUAUUGGGAAGAACACCUGAGGCGAAGGCGGGUUGCUGGGCUGAUACUGACGCUGAGGCGCGAAAGCCAGGGGAGCAAACGGG
rnacentral:rRNA from 1 species